AGAAAACAAGGCUCAUGAGUGACCAUUUAUCAAAACCAACCUCAAUUUUUGGUUUGCGGUUAUGGGUAGUUCUUGGUGUGUGUGUAGGGGCAGCCUUUGUGCUGGUUCUUUUCCUUAUUACUCUAUGGCUCGCUUCAAAGCGUUCCAAGACUAAGAGUAUUAACAAACCCAAAAUCCCAGUUGUCUCCAAAGAGAUCCAGGAAAUCAGAGUCGAACCCAUCAAACAACACAGGGCUCAAAUCCAAACCCACACGUUUCCCG
rnacentral:misc_RNA from 1 species